UAGGGAAUCUUCGGCAAUGGGGGGAACCCUGACCGAGCAACGCCGCGUGAGUGAAGAAGGUUUUCGGAUCGUAAAGCUCUGUUGUUAAGGAAGAACGAGUGUGAGAAUGGAAAGUUCAUGCUUUGACGGUACUUAACCAUAAAGGGACGGCUAACUACGUGCCAGCAGCCGCGGUAAUACGUAGGUCCCGAGCGUUGUCCGGAUUUAUUGGGCGUAAAGCGAGCGCAGGCGGUUAGAAAAGUCUGAAGUGAAAGGCAGUGGCUCAACCAUUGUAGGCUUUGGAAACUGUGUAACUUGAGUGAAGAAGGGGAGAGUGGAAUUCCAUGUGUAGCGGUGAAAUGCGUAGAUAUAUGGAGGAACACCGGUGGCGAAGGCGGCUCUCUGGUCUGUAACUGACGCGGAGGCUCGAAAGCGUGGGGAGCGAACAGG
rnacentral:rRNA from 1 species